rnacentral:rRNA from 1 species
UAAGCGGAGGAAAAGAAACCAACAGGGAUUGCCUCAGUAACGGCGAGUGAAGCGGCAAAAGCUCAAAUUUUAAAGCUGGCACCUUCGGUGUCCGCGUUGUAAUUUUGUGAGGCAUCUCCGGGCAGGGCGCCGGCCUAAGUUCCUUGGAACAGGACGUCACAGAGGGUGAGAAUCCCGUGCUUGGCUGGCUGUCCCCGUCCACGUGAGGUGUCUUCGACGAGUCGAGUUGUUUGGGAAUGCAGCUCAAAAUGGGUGGUAAAUUUCAUCUAAAGCUAAAUAUUGGUGGGAGACCGAUAGCGCACAAGUAGAGUGAUCGAAAGAUGAAAAGCACUUUGAAAAUAGAGUUAAAAAGUACGUGAAAUUGUUGAAAGGGAAGCGCUUGAGACCAGACUUCGGUAGGGGGUGAUCAGCCGUCCUUCUGGGCGGUGCACUUGCCCCCCUCCGGGCCAGCAUCGGUUGGGGCGGCGGGAUAAAGGUCCCGGGAAUGUGGCUCCUCUCGGGGAGUGUUAUAGCCCGGGUGAAUGCCGCCAGCCUCGACCGAGGACCGCGCCCGCAAGGGUCAGGAUGCUUGGCAUAAUGGUCUUCAGCGACCCGUCUUGA